rnacentral:rRNA from 1 species
UACGGGGGGGGCAAGCGUUGUUCGGAAUUACUGGGCGUAAAGGGCUCGUAGGCGGCCAACUAAGUCAGACGUGAAAUCCCUCGGCUUAACCGGGGAACUGCGUCUGAUACUGGAUGGCUUGAGGUUGGGAGAGGGAUGCGGAAUUCCAGGUGUAGCGGUGAAAUGCGCAGAUAAUCAGGAGGAACACCGGUGGCGAAGGGCGGGGU